GUGCUUCCUGAGCAGCUGCUGGAAAGAGCUGACUCUGCCCUGCUGCUCUGCUCUAUGUGCCAUCCCAGUACCUGUUCCUUUGAUCGGAGUGACCCAGCAAUUGCCCCAGCCUCGAGCAGUGGCACUGGAUCCACAUGGCCUUAAUGGUGUGCUGUACUUAACAGCAGUUUCUCUAAGGUGGGAAAGGAAGCUGAGGAGUGUCGGGUCUGUGUACAAGAGAAGCUGCAAGAUUUUGUGUGCUUUCAGUGCUGCUGGCAGGAGGAAGAUGUGUGCUAAGAGCUCUCCAGGCUAUUCGGAUGCUACAAACAGCACAGAUUUCCUGGAACAGAGAUCAACCUUUUCACAGAAUGCUUUCUUAGUAUCCCAGAUCUCCUCAGGCCAGAGGGUCUUAGAUCUGUGCCUAGGAUCAUCAUGGAGCGGAUCCUCCUAGAAGAGAUGUUAAGG
ensembl:lncRNA